CUACGAAAGGUGCAAGCGUUGUUCGGAUUUACUGGGCGUAAAGAGAUCGUAGGUGGUUUGUUAAGUUGGAUGUGAAAUCCCGGGGCUCAACCUCGGAACUGCAUCCAAAACUGGCAGACUUGAGUUCGGGAGGGGUAAGCGGAAUUCCGUGUGUAGCAGUGAAAUGCGUAGAUAUACGGAGGAACACCUGAGGCGAAGGCGGCUUACUGGACCGAUACUGACACUGAGGAUCGAAAGCGUGGGUAGCAAACAGGAUUAGAAACCCUGUAGUCC
rnacentral:rRNA from 1 species